ACCAUGCUCUAAAUUUAUACUCGUGAACAUAUUAAACGGGCCUCAUCUGGCCCGGCCCAUAAUUUGUUGGCUAGGCAUAGGGAAGCGUUUUGGCCUUUUUUUCCAAAAACAAUUUUUGCUUUGAUGAAAUUAAAACUAUUAAUACACAAAAAAAAAAUGUUCACUUUUACUUUUAGGCGAUGGCGAGAGGAUGUCAGUAAUUGGGUUACUGAAUCGGAAUACUGUUAUUGGAGUCGUUCGUUGUGUUUUUACGGUCAAUUUGGUUCUAUUCAGAUAUGGUUAUCUCCGGUUUUGGAUUUGAAAUCUCAGAUACAGCGGCGGAUUCACAGAGUUCCCCGAGUGCUGCUGCGACUGAUGGUUUUGGAGCCGAUUUCCUAGCAUGUAUGAAUAUGUCCUGGGACAAGUUCGAGACGGACAAAUAAACGAGACCAUAUGUUUGCUGCAGCUGACAAGUCUCACUCAGCUUUCUUGUUGAUUGAUGAGAUAUAAGAGCAGAUGGGAUUAGCUGGAUAUGUGCAGGAAACUGAGAUGGUAUGCAUAUAAGUUAAACAAAUCGUUGGAGCAUAUAAGCAGACACAAACAAUCAGUUGUAGCCGCAGAGGC